CCUACGGGUGGCUGCAGUGGGGAAUAUUGGACAAUAGGCGAAAGCCUGAUCCAGCCAUGCCGCGUGUGUGAAGAAGGCCUUCGGGUUGUAAAGCACUUUCAGUGGGGAAGAAAGCCUUGGGGCUAAUACCCUCGAGGAAGGACAUCACCCACAGAAGAAGCACCGGCUAACUCCGUGCCAGCAGCCGCGGUAAUACGGAGGGUGCGAGCGUUAAUCGGAAUUACUGGGCGUAAAGCGCGCGUAGGCGGUCUGAUAAGCCGGUUGUGAAAGCCCCGGGCUCAACCUGGGAACGGCAUCCGGAACUGUCAGGCUAGAGUGCAGGAGAGGAAGGUAGAAUUCCCGGUGUAGCGGUGAAAUGCGUAGAGAUCGGGAGGAAUACCAGUGGCGAAGGCGGCCUUCUGGACUGACACUGACGCUGAGGUGCGAAAGCGUGGGUAGCAAACAGGAUUAGAUACCCUAGUAGUC
rnacentral:rRNA from 1 species